rnacentral:lncRNA from 1 species
UAAGUAGUUAGUACAAAAGUGCGACCGCUACCAACGCUGCAAGCUGGUAUCAGCACUGUGUUGGAAGUAUGCCCACAAAGCUACUCAUUUGAUGUAAUAGCUUUUGGAAUACUUAUUGUGUUAAACUAUUAUAUGUUUAAUGAAGGGAAAAUCUUAUUAUUAAUCACUAUUUAUUGUAUUACGUGUUUAAGCAAUAAGGGAAUCCAAUGAGUUUAUUUAAUCUAAGAGAGAAGUGAUAUAAGUAAGUUAGAUUAACGAGACCUUUCUCUUAUGUUCAUUCCUAAAACGUUCAUAGCCAUAGGAUUGCUAAUUGGGCAUUGACAAUCUGCUAAGGUUAGUAUGUGUUAUGUUAACUCAAGUGUGAGUAUGACUAGUCUCAAGUCACUUAGCGUUGGACACUGAGACAAACACAUAGGUGCUCAAAAGGUAAUUGCACUGAACAACGAUAAAAAAGGAGUUUGAACAUACAUGUCAUGUAAGAACUCUUAAGUUGCAAUACGCAAAGUAGUCCUUUGACCUGAGACAUCAUAGAUGUCUAAUGGUUGGAUCCUUGAUCUUUGAUCAUGUUAAAGGCAUUCCAUUGAGAGUGUCCACGACAUUGUUGGGGUCAAGCUAUCUAGUCAUGUAGGCAUAUGAAUGCACAACAAGGGAUCUUUAACCUUCCAUGGUGGAUGGAGAAUACUUUGAGAUGUGAUUCGGGAGUCUUUGGCCAAAGCAUACGAAUAUGACUUAGGAAGUUUGUUCCAAAUCAUAUUCAAUUGAAUCAUAUAGAGAAGUAUCACAUUGGAUAGUAGACAUGAAAUAAACUAUCACUCAAACAAUGUGAUUAAGAGUAUUGUAUUAGAGAAGGACCGUAUUGUAUUGUAAUUGUAACUGGAUAGGUUCUCAAACCAUUUCUACUUAGCUUGGGUAGCCAUGACAUACUGCUAGGUGUCGCUCAUGGUUUGUGGAAGCUCUGAGGAUUAGCAAACACUAAUCUUAAUCAAAAGGAGAAUUGAAAUGUAGUUUCAAUUCAUAAUUGAUCGUUAAGAGUAACAAUCGCCCACUACCUCACUAAUUGGAACCUAAUGGAUCGUACACCGAGUAAGGAUGAAAGUGAAGAAAUGUAUAUGAGAUGGAUAAGCAAUUAAAUAGUUUAAUUGAGAAUGGUCAAGAUUAAUUAAUUAGUUAAUUAAUCUUACGAAAGGUUCGUAUUGGGCUUUUAAGUUGGUUUUGGGUUUUGGGGCCCAAAAGGGUUUUUGGUCCAUACGGCCCAUUAAGUUUAGGUUGUGUGACAACUAAAACUAAAUGGAAAUUAACCCAAAAACAAAGUCAAAACCGGCCAAGGGUGAGUGGUAGCAAACUUGGGUUAAUUGCAAGUUUGCCACUCAUAUGUGAGGUGGUAUAAAGGCAACUUUAUAGCCAUUCUCUCACUAGCGUUUUCUUGAGGAAAAGAAGGAAAUUUUUUCUCUCUUUUUCUCCAUAGAGGCCGGCCACUUAGGGAAAGGAUAGCUAGCAAUCUUUCUUCCUCUAAGUCAUCCAUUUCAUCUUCACACCUCAUCCUUGGUGUGGAGACUUAGAGACAUUAAAUCUUUGGUGUUCUUGGAGAUCCUUUCCUCACAUCCUCAAGGAGCAAAUGAGUAUCAAAAGGAAGAAAAACACAAGGAAGAUUGAUAAGCUCAUAUUUAUAUAUAUUUUACAUAAAAUUCACUUGUCUUUUCUUA